AUUGAACGCUGGCGGCAGGCCUAACACAUGCAAGUCGAACGGUAACAGGAAACAGCUUGCUGUUUCGCUGACGAGUGGCGGACGGGUGAGUAAUGUCUGGGAAACUGCCUGAUGGAGGGGGAUAACUACUGGAAACGGUAGCUAAUACCGCAUAACGUCGCAAGACCAAAGAGGGGGACCCUCGGGCCUCUUGCCAUCGGAUGUGCCCAGAUGGGAUUAGCUUGUUGGUGGGGUAACGGCUCACCAGGGCGACGAUCCCUAGCUGGUCUGAGAGGAUGACCAGCCACACUGGAACUGAGACACGGUCCAGACUCCUACGGGAGGCAGCAGUGGGGAAUAUUGCACAAUGGGCGCAAGCCUGAUGCAGCCAUGCCGCGUGUAUGAAGAAGGCCUUCGGGUUGUAAAGUACUUUCAGCGGGGAGGAAGGGAGUAAAGUUAAUACCUUUGCUCAUUGACGUUACCCGCAGAAGAAGCACCGGCUAACUCCGUG
rnacentral:rRNA from 1 species